UAUUUUUCAUUUUUUUCUUCUGCAUUUCAUUUUUCUCUGUGCGUGAUUUUGACAUGUGUUGCUAUCGAUUGGUUCGGUCCUUCCAAAAAUGGGCAUUUGCAUCUUCCUAGGCUAGCAUUUCGCUUCCCUCUCGCUCAAUCGCAUAUGACCUUAAAACAGUGUGUUUUAACCACACAAGGAAACUAUAAAAAUCUCUACAGUCGUUGAUUGGUAGGUAGGCAGGCUAUAGAAUUUGUAUAGGAGGUUGAGCUCUUUGUUUCAUUCACUCAUACUGUUCGAAGAAAAUCCUGUGAGGACCUGGGAAGGGUUACUUUUUGUUUUACUUUCAGUGGGUAUCACUGGAAUUUACUGGUAUGUUGCUUUGAUGUGUGUUGCAGGGUUCAGCGCUGUCUAAACAGCCUGGGGAAGGGAUAUAGUUGACUUGUGAGAUGUGGGAAGUCUAGGAUACAAUUUCAAUCCCUUCUUACUCAUUGAUAUCCCCAGAUGAAGCCAACACAAACCAUGAAGGUGCAAUACUUUCAUUGUUAUCAUAAGUAAGGUAAAUGUCCUUGUUAUUUAAUAUAAAGCUGAAAUUGUACCUAUCUGAAGAACUUUAGAAUAUAAAUCUGAAACAUUGGCCAUCCUAAAGCCCAAUCUCUCAGUUAUCGCUUGGUUGCCACAGAUUGAUCUGUGACUUGUUUACAGGAUCUAUGCCAAAAGCAAAUAAACCACUACUUGGCAAAGAUGGGCUUAACCAUGAACAAGAGAACUUUUUCCUUAUUUGAUUUGUAUCCAUAUCAAACCAUCCUAAUUCCAUUCCAGGGAAAAAUGUAUCAGUUGGAAAAUCACAACUCUGCCAAACAAUUAUUUCUUCCUGAAUGAGAAUUAGAUUUUCUGAUUCAAGAAGUCUUACGCUAGUAUUACUUGGUCUAGUUGUGUUACUCCUUUUGCAAUUCAGCAAGGUGACAACAGCUAUGCUUUUAUUUGUGUUGUCCGGUCCAUUAAAAGCUUUAACAUAUCUGUUAACGCAUGGUAUAGUUGGUUUCAUGAUGGGCUUUAUAUGGAGGUAAUUAAUACGAACCUUGCAAGUUCUUAUUGUAUGAUAUUUUCUUCUUUUUGCGCAUUAUUCAGUGACUAUGAUUUUUAUGUUAUGAACAGGUAAUUGUUAGUAAUACAUCAUAAAUAUCAAAUUUUCCUCUUUAGUUCUGAUCUAUUGUUGAUUUUAAAUAAUUUGUCAUAAUUUCAUCCCCUUUAAUUGGCUUUGGUUUCACCGACUCGUAUGUCAAUUUGUACUUCUUUGAAAUAAGUAUCUUUCAAAAUCUUACUAGCAUCUGAACUAGAUAAAUGUGCUAGAAGUUUUAUUAUUGAGUAGAGCCAAGUGAUUCACAUGAGUUUAAUAAGAGGCUUUUUCAGUAUGCUACUCUCCAUGAGCUUUCAGUUACCCUUUUGAAAUGCUUACUGCGCUUCAAAUUUUAAAUACCUUAUCUAGCCAAUAUACUCAAGUUAGUGCUCAGUUAUUCAAUUACCAUUCAACUUGCAUCACUACAACCACAAGUUCCUCUACUAAUUACUUUUUUGUUAUUAUUUUUAACUUUUCAACCUUAUCCAUGUAUUGGAAGUUAUAUGUUGUUAUAGUGAAAAAUGCUGAUGCACUCAGAAUUGAACUCUUACUAAUGUAAAUGUGUGUGUGUGUGUGUAUAUAUAUAUAUAUUCACUUGUAUUUUUAAUUCCUUUGAACAUGUCUUGUUAAGAUAGUUUUAUUUCAAAAUUUUUUACCUGCGACACACGAAAAUGGAGAACAUGAGCUAGGCUUUAAAGUACAAAAACAGCAAUGGUUGGAGUGUUUCAGUUUCGGAACAUUUUCAACAUGGAAACACUAGGAGACGGCCAGGAUUUAUAUGACAAUUUUAUUUGUUGAAUGAUAUUUCUCUUUACUUUUAUUUAUUCUUGAUUGUCUUCCUUUAUUGUGAAUGAUUACAUUAUCCUAUGGGCAGUAUUAAACUUGUGUAUUGGGGCUGCAUGAAUUCAUGAAUUGCUUCUUAUUUAGUUAUAGCUUGUUGUUUCUAUUGUUUAUAAAGGUUCUCCUAAGAGGUCCAAAGAAUGCUCGUGAAACUAUGAAAAACAUUGGCCCAGCUUUUGGUGUGCCACACAGCCAUUCCAAACCACAUGUGCGAUCAAAGGGAAGGAAGUUUGAGAGAGUUAGAGGGACAAGGAAUAGCAAAGGAUUUAGAGUUUGAGUUGUUUUUAGUUCCAAAAUGUCAGUCAAUUAUUUUAUUUUUGAUUAUUAUGUCCCAAAUUUUGUUAGACUCUAGGUUCCAAUGGAACUUGUUUAUGUUAUUAUUAAUUCCUAGCUUGAACUUUUUAUGUUA